UACGGAGGGUGCGAACGUUACUCGGAAUCACUGGGCGUAAAGCGCGCGUAGGCGGUUUGCUAAGUGGGAUGUGAAAUCCCCGGGCUUAACCUGGGAAUUGCAUUUCAAACUGGCCGACUAGAGUACGGUAGAGGGAGGUAGAAUUUCCUGUGUAGCGGUGAAAUGCGUAGAUAUAGGAAGGAAUACCAGUGGCGAAGGCGGCCUCCUGGAUCGAUACUGACGCUGAGGCGCGAAAGCGUGGGGAGCAAACAGG
rnacentral:rRNA from 1 species